rnacentral:sRNA from 1 species
UCCUAUCGCGCGCCGAGCUCCAUCCAAUAGGCAGGGGACACCGACAAACGGAUGGAGACGGGGGACCCACCGGUCCACCGUGAUCGGACCGGGGCCGCUCGCGGCUCCUUGGGGUGAAGCCGACGUCGCUCCCACGUGGACGACGCGGCCGGGUGGCCUCUCCAACCCGAACCCGACAGCUGACCUCGCAGGCGCGUUACGAGAGAGGAA